UUUGAUACUGACAUGGACAACAAAGAGCACCGUAGUUCUUGAAAUGACAGGUGGUUUGGAACAAUCUUUACAUAUAAUAAAAAUAAAGAAGUACAGUAUUUUGUCGUUACAGUAUUCUUCAGCUUAAUCUCAAAAUUUUCAUGGUAUCAGAGCCUAGACGAUGAUCCGACUAUGUUUUUCUGCAUCUUGUUAUCUUGGUUGAAGUAUCCUUUGAGAUUUUUGGGGGUGUUUCUGACGUAUGUGGUCGAUGACGAUUCCGAUCUAAAUCGGAUACUUUCUGAGUCUUUCACCGAGAUAUCUGAGUAUAUCUUCUUCACUCGAACGAUCUGGGAGAUUUUCCGAUGAUUUUUGGGUGAUUUUUCGGUGACUUAUCAGCUUCUAGGGUUUCUGGUGGUUGAACCUAAGGUUUAACUGCUAUCCGGUGGCUCGAUCCUCGCUCAGUGGAUGUCUCACUCAGUGGAUGUUUUGGGUGACUUUCCGACAUCCUUGACCAUACUUCCAGUAAGGUUUUUGACGGUUGCACCUAGGGUUUUCUCUGUUGAUUGAAGGCCGAUCUUCUCCGGUCGCGAAGAAGGAGGGUAAAUCUGUCCUUAUCUUGAGUAUUGUAUGCUUUGUGUGUGAUUAUAUGGCUCCGUAUGUGAGUAUCUGGUUUUGUGUGUGAAUAUCUGGUUUCGUUAUCCUUUGCUUGUCGAAACUGUUUUUUCUUUCAAGUCGGUUCAUUAAUCAUGGCUUCCAAUACGAAUGCUGGUACCUCCUCCUCGGUAGACUCUACC
rnacentral:lncRNA from 1 species